ACCUGGUUGAUCCUGCCAGUAGCAUAUGCUUGUCUCAAAGAUUAAGCCAUGCAUGUCUAAGUACGCACGGCCGGUACAGUGAAACUGCGAAUGGCUCAUUAAAUCAGUUAUGGUUCCUUUGGUCGCUCGCUCCUCUCCUACUUGGAUAACUGUGGUAAUUCUAGAGCUAAUACAUGCCGACGGGCGCUGACCCCCUUCGCGGGGGGGAUGCGUGCAUUUAUCAGAUCAAAACCAACCCGGUCAGCCUCCCCUCGGCUCCGGCCGUGGGGGCGGGCGCCGGCGGCUUUGGUGACUCUAGAUAACCUCGGGCCGAUCGCACGCCCUCCGUGGCGGCGACGACCCAUUCGAACGUCUGCCCUAUCAACUUUCGAUGGUA
rnacentral:rRNA from 1 species